AUCAACUGAUUGUAUCUUUUAAUAACAUUUGCAUCCAAGUUUGGAUGAAUGGAACAAUUGAUUGGCUGUAAUUGAUCAAAUUGUAAUGGUGAUACUGGCUUUGAUUAAGGAAUUAACCAUAUAAAUACAAAAAAUGCGUAAAGGGAAAUAUUCAAGUUAACCUGUUAACUUUCAACAUGAUUAUCUGAGCACCAUUUAACCUACCAAACUGUUAUUACAAUUAGAUUAGAUUUGAAUGCGGAAACCUGGAUGUUGCAUCUGUAAAUCAAUUUACGGUUAAGUUUCAUCAAGUGUAAAUGAAAGAGUAGUGAGUUAAUUACAGUCUGAGAUUGUGAUUAUUGACGUUAUUUACAUAAUUCAAUAUGACCUUUACAUGGGAACAAAUUGAUUGAAGAAGUGAUAAUCGUAAAGGGGAAAAAAGGAGAACAGGAAAAGGAUGAUAAAUCAAUAGGAUGGUGAAGAUGGAGGAGGAUGGAAAAGGUGAAGAUGAAGGUGCAUUUUGUAAUUGUAAAUGAUAAAGAUCGUAUAUUUGAUGCAAUGAAUAUCCAUAUAUGUAUUGAUAUCCAGGAAACUCGAGAAUCCGGAAUGAAAACAGAAUCAACAAGCAACAAAAGGCAUAAAAGGACUAAUGAUGAUGAAAACUGAUUAGAUGUUUUUCAUUCGACUAACAAGUUGUAUGAUGAUGAUAUACUUCCGCCGUGAUGUAAAAUGAUUUGGUUAACUGCCUCAAGGUAUGAUUACGUAUGAUUGUUUCCAGUUGUUUUUUUUGCCUCACAUUUUACUAUCUUUGGUCAUUCGGAUGAUAAUGAUGGUGGAAACAAAACACAACUCAAAAAAACACUGAUGCUAACCUUGAAAGAAGAUACCAAAAACCAGUAAAACAUAAGCACGGAAGAUACCAAUUGAUAAAAGAGAGAAGCAAGUUUGUCACUUAUGAUGAUGUGUUUGACGAUAAAAGAUGAAUUAUAUUCAACUUAAUUGCUGGAAUUAUCAUUUCAAGUUUACUCAAGUAUCAACAUUUACCUUGAUUGUCACUGGCCAUCAAUUGAAGAGGUUAAUUAAUCAUUUUACGAUUGAGCUUUCGGGUUGAAAAAUGGUGUUUAUUCAAGAUGACUUUGGAAACUAUUGGAGUCUGAAAAUGCUAAGGAAUGAUCAACUGCAGGAAAUAAUAUUUCACUUGAACAUUUCCUGAAGAGAAAAGUGAAAAAGUCAUUAAAACAAAUCGACAGAAAGACGUCUCUUUUAUAACAAUAAUAAUAGCAAUCAUAUUUAACCAUUUAUAUCAUCAAGAGGAUCCAAAGGAGAAGCAAAAUUGAAUCAAAGUAAAAGUGAUGAUCAAUGUUGGAGUAACUAACAAAAGUAAAACAAAUAUCUGGAUACUUGAUAAAUCAAUUAAUUAAUGUUCACAAGAAUGGGAAUCAAUUAACGUAUCAAAUGUUGAAAUGCUCAAGCUAAAUCCUAAAUUAAUUGAUUGGUAUCUCGGUAAAAAUGUAGUGUUGUUAAAAAAUUAAGCUAAAUGAUGUUGAAUGGUUGAAACUUUCACCAGAUUAAGAUACAAGUUACAAGGCAACUUAUUUUUUGUUUGCUGCUUCGCCUGCUCAUUCAACUGUACCUUGAUUUUACCCUCUCUUAUCCAGAGUUUAUCAAUCCCUUAUUGGGUUGGGAUGAGAAAGAUGAUGUUGAUGAGACAAAUGAAAGAGAAAGCUUUUUCUUGUUCAUCAUCAUGAUAACUUUUUACCUACAAACCGGUUUACCAAUUCUGAUCAUCAUUUUAUCUCUUCUCUCUCUUUUUGUUGUUGUUCAUCUUUUUCCAACUCUUAAACUCAACAAUGUUGACCGGUCGAUCGAUGAUCUUAACCCUGACCGUAAACCUAUUAAAUAGACAAUUUUCAAUUUAAUCGCUUAACCCAAAAUUUGGUUUCCCAAAAUCUCAAGGUUCCGAUUCCUCCAUCAAAUCUACUUGCUUUUUUCCCAUCUUCAUCUCCAUCUCCAUCUUCCAGAUCAUCAUCAUUCCCUUCUCCUGCUUUCUCACCCAAUCUCUUUCAUUAUACUGAUUACUCCUUGUAUUUUUUCCUUCUCACCGUCCUCAUCAUUUUUGAUUAUAACUUCAAUAUUAACCAGGACCAACAGCAUGAAGAAAAACUUGAAUCAAGAUUUGAAUGAGUCACCAGAUCCUUUUUUUUAUAAGCUGCACAUUUUGUUGUCUUUCCAAGUUGUAUUAUUCAAAAAGGCAAGCUUAAAUUGAAAGUUAUAAGAUUCAAUGUUGAGAUUAGUUUAAAUAUUGUCACCAAUCAUGAUUAUAUCAAGAUACAAUUUCCAAUAUCAUCCUUGUCCGGAUUUGGCUUGGUCUUUUAUAUUAAUUUCCUUUCUCAGGGGAAAAAAGACGAUAAAGAAAAUGGAAUAAAUCUUUGCGUGUUUUCACUUUAC